GACGAACGCUGGCGGCGUGCUUAAUACAUGCAAGUCGAACGGAAAGGCCCUGCUCUUGCGGGGUGCUCGAUUGGCGAACGGGGGAGUAACACGCGAGUAACCCGCCCUUGACUGUGGGAUAACUCCAGGAAACUGGGGCUCAUACCGGAUAGGAGCUCCUGCUGCAUGGUGGGGGUUGGAAAGUUUCGGCGGUUGGGGAUGGACUCGCGGCUUAUCAGCUUGUUGGUGGGGUAGUGGCUUACCAAGGCUUUGACGGAUAGCCGGCCUGGGAGGGUGACCGGCGACAUUAGGACUAAGGUACGGCGCAGUCUGCUACGGGAGGCAACAGUGGGGAAUAUUGCACAGUGAGCGGAAGCGUGAUGCGGCAGCGCCGCGUGCGGGAUGACGGCCUUCGGGUUGUAAACCAAUUUCGCCUGUGACGAAGCGUGAGUGACGGUAAUGGGUAAAGAAGCACCGGCUAACUACGUG
rnacentral:rRNA from 1 species